rnacentral:lncRNA from 1 species
UUUAUUUAGAGAAGCCCUUUCAGUACAUCUUUUAGAAUGGGUUUAGUAUUGCUGUACUCUUUUAGCUUUUGUUUGUUGGAGAAAUUCUUUAUUUCCCCUUCUAUUUUAAAUGAUAUUCUUGCUGUAUAAAGUAUUCUAGGCUGCAUAUUUUUUCCUUUCAGAACUUUAAAUAUAUCUUGCCACUCCCUUCUGGCCUGUGGUGUUUCUGUAGAGAAAUCAGCUGAUAGCCUUGUGGGGAUUCCCUUAUAAUUAAUGCUUUGUUUUUCUCUUGCUGCCUUUAGAAUCCUCUCUUUAUCUUUAACUCUUGCCAUUUUUAUUAUAAUGUGUCUUAGUGUGGUCCUAUUUGGACUUGUUUGGGGCCUCUGUGCUUCCUGUAUCUUAAUAUUAGUUUCUUUUGGAUUUGGAAAGUUUUCAGACAUAAUUUCUUCAAAUAUAUUUUCAAUCCCCCUUUCUUUUCCUUCUGGAAUUCCUAUUAUGCAUAGUUUGGCCCACUUUAUAUUAUCCCAUAGAUCUCUUAUAUUGCUUUUGUGUUUUCUCAUUUGGUUUUCUGCCUGCUGUUCUGAUUGGGUGAUUUCCAUUAUUCUAUCUUCCUAAUCACUAAUUCGUUCCUCCGCCUUAUUCAUUCUGCUCUUUAGUGCCUUAGCUCAGUUUGUGUCUCUGCAAGUGAAUUUUCUAAUUUUUCUGUGUUCCUCCUUAUAUUUUCUAGUUCAUUUCUAAAGGAAUCUGCAUACUGUUCAUAUCUACUCUUAAUUCUUUGAUAUUCAGCCUUAAUUCCUUUAGUAUUUUCACUAUCUCCCUUUUGAACGCAAUGUCUGUCAGACUGCAGAGGUCUCUUUCAUUGUUUGCUGCUUCAUGUGAUUUCUGUUCCAUUAACUGGGAAUGGUUUCUGAGCUUCUUCAUCUUGCUUAUGUUUUUCUUUUUCUGUGAGUUUAGGGAAGCCGCACUGUAGUCUUGGAGGACUACUUUUAUGCAAGAGCACUCCUUUGUAUUUUGUAGGGGGUUACUAUUUAUUUUUGGUGUGGGAGUUUGAAUAUUUGCUGUCUCUUUCUUUGGUGUGAGCAGGCUGUUAUCCCCAGGGUGCUGAGUGUAUGUAUUUCCAGGGAGAAGGAGGCAAUGGAUAGGGCUAGUAGUCAGUGCCCAGUUGCUGGGCUCUUAACAGCAGCAAGGACCUGCAGGAAGGUGGCACAAGCUGCUCCUAGUUGCAGGGCCCUGGGAAGUGGUAAUGAGCCUUAGGCAGAUUUACAAGGUGCCCAGAGCAUUUGGCAGUGGCAGCAGCGGGAUGUGUGAGUUCCCAGGGGAGUAAGAGCAACAACAGGUAGUGUUCAAUUGCAGUGCCCUUCUCUGAGGUGAUUGGGGCCGCAAGUGGUGCCUGUUCAGGGACCCCUAGUGGUAGCGGGCCACACCCACCUCUGGAGUCAGUGAUAACUGUGUGGUUUGCCCCUGCCUCCUGUAGACCAUGCAAGAAGCACCUUGUCCCACUUAGCCCCCAUAGGAGGUGCUGUACCAGCUGCUCCUAGUUGUAGGUUCUUGGGAAGGGACAGUGAUCAAGCGACUAGGCACUGUCCAGAGCAUUUGGCAAUGGCAGCAGCAGUGCGGGUAUACUCCCAGGGGAGUGAGAGCAACAACAGGUGGUGUUCUGUCACAGUGCCCUCCUCUGUGGUGCCCUCUGAGGUGGUUGGAGUUACAAGUGGAUCUUGUUCAGGGAACCCCAGUGGUGGUGGGCUUCACCCACCUCUGGAAUCAGAGAUAACUGCCAUGGUUUUCCCCCGCCAUCUGCAGACCAGGCAAGAAGUGCCUGUCCUGUUUAGCUCACACAGGAGGUGCUGCACCAGCUGCUUCUAGUUGUAGGGUCUCGGGAAAGGACAGUGAUCAAG